AUGUUGACCACGGGGGACGGGCGGCUCUCAGAGCCGGACGCGGUGAUGUCGAAGCCGGAGGGCACGAUGAGGCAGCCCACGGCGAGCACACUGGUGUUGUACGGCUCCCUGGUGACGGCGCCGAGCUCGGUGGCGUUCGACCCAGGAGUCGACAGUGCGGGGGAACGGACGAAGAUGGCGGAGCCUGCGGCCAUGAGGUUGCCGACGCCGAGGUCGAAGGGCGUGCGGCUGGUGGUCUGGAAGAGCGUGGUCACGAGCCUCCCCGAGGCGGGGACGCGGGCGAGGUCGGAAUGGGAGAGGUACUCGAGGAGGACGUGGUAG
rnacentral:rRNA from 1 species